AUUGAACGCUGGCGGAAUGCUUUACACAUGCAAGUCGAACGGCAGCACGGACUUCGGUCUGGUGGCGAGUGGCGAACGGGUGAGUAAUACAUCGGAACGUGCCCAGUCGUGGGGGAUAACGUAGCGAAAGCUACGCUUAUCCCGCAAACGAUCUAGGGAUGAAAGCGGGCGAUCGCAUGACCCCGCGCGAUUGGAGCGACCGAUGGCAGAUUAGGUAGUUGGUGGGGUAAAGGAUAACCAAGCCGACGAUCUGUAGCUGGACUGAGAGGACGACCAGCCAGACUGGGACUGAGACACGGCCCAGACUCCUACGGGAGGCAGCAGUGGGGAAUUUUGGACAAGGGGCGCAAGCCUGAUCCAGCCAUUCCGCGUGCAGGAUGAAGGCCCUCGGGUUGUAAACUGCUUUUGUACGGAACGAAAAGGCUCUGGUUAAUACCCGGGGCUCAUGACGGUACCGUAAGAAUAAGCACCGGCUAACUACGUGCCAGCAGCCGCAGUAA
rnacentral:rRNA from 1 species